ensembl:rRNA 5S_rRNA 5S ribosomal RNA
UUUAGCAGCCAUAUCACCCUGCAACUCUCAACUGGCAUACCACUGAAGCUCAGCAGGUGUGAGCCUGGUCAGUACCUGGAUGGGAGACCUCCUGGGAAAAACUAAGGUUGCUGCUGGAA